GAUGAACGCUGGCGGCGUGCCUAACACAUGCAAGUCGAACGAUGAAGCCCAGCUUGCUGGGUGGAUUAGUGGCGAACGGGUGAGUAACACGUGAGUAACCUGCCCUUAACUCUGGGAUAAGCCUGGGAAACUGGGUCUAAUACCGGAUAGGAGCGUCCACCGCAUGGUGGGUGUUGGAAAGAUUUAUCGGUUUUGGAUGGACUCGCGGCCUAUCAGCUUGUUGGUGAGGUAAUGGCUCACCAAGGCGACGACGGGUAGCCGGCCUGAGAGGGUGACCGGCCACACUGGGACUGAGACACGGCCCAGACUCCUACGGGAGGCAGCAGUGGGGAAUAUUGCACAAUGGGCGCAAGCCUGAUGCAGCGACGCCGCGUGAGGGAUGACGGCCUUCGGGUUGUAAACCUCCUUCAGUAGGGAAGAAGCGAAAGUGACGGUACCUGCAGAAGAAGCACCGGCUAACUACGUG
rnacentral:rRNA from 1 species